GGGGGAAAGUAUGUGGAGGGGAGGUGGAUCUGCUGUGUGGACACACCUCUUCCUGCAGGGCGGGGCCAAGUGAGACAGGUAUGAUGCUACAGGAAGUCAGCAGAGGAACGGCCACGCCGUCUCCUCAGCACAGCAACGGGGCCGCUGUCGCCAACGGCAACGACAGAUCCUGCUGACCCUGCAUCUAACUGUGAGGAGGACUCAGUGUCCCACCAGUCAUGUACGCUGAGCCCAGCCAGCCUGACCCACACACCUAGCCCAGGGGUCAAUCACAUCACUGACAAGACACAGGGACUAUUUGGGCCAUCUCCAGAAAGGAGAGCAGGCUACGAAUGUGAAGGAACUCAUCCAAAAUAUCACAGGCAAUCCAGAACAAGGAUACAGAGGACUUCCAACCAAAAAUGUUUUAUCAGAGUCUAUUUCUAUCCCUUCAACCAAUGAGCAGUGACUGGGGGAAGCCACGAGUCACUUUGUUCUCAAACACUGAUACCUGGAAAGAAUUAUCACGGGAUGGACAGAGAGACAGAAAGACUAAAACUCUCUUCCCAGCUUGGUAGUGGACUCUAACCACUGCUGUUAGUCGUAUGAACCUGAGGUUAAGCUUCCAAUGUAGCAGAUACUUUGCCCCCAAUCAAUGGAAUAUGAUACCACAACCUGACAAGGAGACUAGACGCUUAGCAAUUAUUUAAUUUAUAUCAAAAUAAUCAGUCUUCUGAGAGAAAAAUAAAAAAAACAUUCUUUGACAGUGUUUCAUCUUUAUGAGGAAUUGUAUGAUUGUGCAGCUACUGUAUAUGUGUCCUCUAUGAUGUUGUUAUACAUGUAUGUGUGUGUACAUAUACUAGACUAAAACAUGUCUUGGAAUCCAAUAUUUGUCAUUUCUAACCAGAGUGCCAUCUCUGUUUUUGUAAGGUUGUGAAGGUAUGCCCCCUACAUCCAGGGAUGGUACUGAAUGGCGGGGGUGGAGUGGUGCAGUAAAUGGUAUUUACCACAGUAGUCAAGGAUUCUAAUAAUAGUAUAGCAUUUAUUUGCUUCAUGAGCUCUCUCAUGGAAGCCUAUUCAGAACCUUGUACAAAAAGGAUGAAAAAUAAAAGUAAAGUUCUUGAAAAAAAAGGAACAUAAAUUAACAGAGGUUUUUAGUUUGUAAAGAAAUGUGGCAUAUUGCUGGUCUGCACACAUCAACAGCCAGUCGCUUAGGCCCAACCUGCCGGUGUGCUGGUACUAAUGGUUUCUCACAACUGAUGGCUUAUACGAUUGUGGCUAGAUGGAAGUGACUUUGCGCAGCAGGUUAUGAGAACUAACGCAGCAGGUUAGGAAAAUUAAAAUAGCAGGUUAGGAGAAAAGCUCAAAUGCUACAGUUGUCCCCGACGCGUCAACUCGAUGUACUCCAUCUACAGACAACCAUAAAAGCCAUCAGUUCCAAGAAACCAUCCGUGGCCUACCGCCACACCGGUCUGCACACAUUAACCUCCUGUCGCUUACAGAAGCAGCAUUGAGCUGGCACUGAAAUACCUUUAAGAAAUACACUGUUUAAGAAUUAGCGGGUAUGCUAGUAGGCUAGUGCUAACCUCAUAGCUAGGUCUACAGAGACAGCUAUACAGUAAGGAUAAUUUUACAUAGCAAACAUCUACCCAAAAUAAAAUAGACCAUUCUUAAUUAGAAUAAACUAAGUUAUAUUGAAAAUUCAACCCAGUCUGUAGAAAUAUACAAUAUUUGAAACUAAAAUCAAUGUCAGGCCUACAAAACUCAAGGACAGAAACUGGGCGCUCAAUCAACCUUAAUGACUGUCCCAAGGAGGAGACUUGUGAGUGAGAUGUGUCUACAAACGUUCUGAUGAGGCAGAAACGGUCUUGGAAUCUGAUAUUUGUCAUCUCAUUUCUAACCACAGCAGGCUACAAUCAGUGUUCUCCAUUUCCACAAUCCAUCCGUCGAGUCGACAAAGCACAUGAAUCAUGUCUAAAGAAUGCCUACUGAUAUAGAGGUACGUGAGGGGAAUGGGCAGAUACGAGUGACUGUUCUCAACUACAAUAUGGAGGUCAGUUUGGGUCUUAGGGCUUUAUUCAAUCAGAUCCGCUUUAGCCAACAUCCGCAUAGCCGUUGUUUAGGUGUGUCAAAGGUGGAACUGCUUUAGAGCUGUCAAAUCCACAAGUGGCUCCCGGCAUUACACCUAAAGUGAACAUUGCCAAUGUUCAUGGAGUUGCAUUAACAGAAAUCCCAUGCAGCCUGGUUUACAAGUUUCAACACCGGAACUUGAGUUGUAAGGUAGGAUUUCAUUAGGAUUUGAGUAAGAGAUGGAUUGAAGCCUGGAUUCAAACCAGGGACCACUGCGCCACUCAGAAGUCUUAAAGAGGAGGGUAUAGUGCUUUUACAUCUAGUCCAGGGGAGGGUCAUGUCAUUUGAAAUUGAUGAAAUGUUAAUAUGUCUCAGUGUUUUAGAAGGAGUUGCUGAUAAAGCUAUAUAUCGAUGUGUGUUUCUUGCCCAUGAUGUAGGAUUAUUUAUCAGCGUUAUUGACCUCACAAUA